UAAAUGAGUUAUGGGUUGACCUAA
rnacentral:siRNA from 1 species